rnacentral:misc_RNA from 1 species
GUUUUUCCUCUUCAAUGCCGGAGAAUCUCUCUGUAAAUACAAAUUAUGGUAGAAACAGAGUUGCUACCUCCUGUUCUCUUCAUACGCCUUCUAUUAUUCAAAUUCCUAAGCAUUCUCACACCGCAUUUCCAUCUCCUAUUAAGACUGCAGUGCCUAAACCCCUUCCAGUUUCGCCUCCCUCCCUGUCCUCCGCAUCCGAUGACUGGAAUUUCUUGCAGCGGGCUGCGGCUAUGGCUCUUGAUGCGGUUGAAAAUGCUCUGGUUUCGGCAGAGCGGAAGCAUUCCUUGCCCAAGACCGCCGACCCUGCGGUUCAAAUUGCUGGCAAUUUU